rnacentral:rRNA from 1 species
UACGGAGGGGGCUAGCGUUAUUCGGAAUUAUUGGGCGUAAAGGGCGCGUAGGCGGCCCGGUAAGUCAAAGGUGAAAUCCCUCGGCUCAACUGAGGAACUGCCUUUGAAACUGUCGGGCUUGAGGCCGGGAGGGGGUAGCGGAAUUCCCAGUGUAGCGGUGAAAUGCGUAGAUAUUGGGAGGAACACCGGUGGCGAAGGCGGCUGAGCCU